rnacentral:rRNA from 1 species
GAAGAACGCUGGCGGCGUGCCUAAUACAUGCAAGUCGAACGCUUCUUUCCUCCCGAGUGCUUGCACUCAAUUGGAAAGAGGAGUGGCGGACGGGUGAGUAACACGUGGGUAACCUACCCAUCAGAGGGGGAUGACACUUGGAAACAGGUGCUAAUACCGCAUAACAGUUUAUGCCGCAUGGCAUAAGAGUGAAAGGCGCUUUCGGGUGUCGCUGAUGGAUGGACCCGCGGUGCAUUAGCUAGUUGGUGAGGUAACGGCUCACCAAGGCCACGAUGCAUAGCCGACCUGAGAGGGUGAUCGGCCACACUGGGACUGAGACACGGCCCAGACUCCUACGGGAGGCAGCAGUAGGGAAUCUUCGGCAAUGGACGAAAGUCUGACCGAGCAACGCCGCGUGAGUGAAGAAGGUUUUCGGAUCGUAAAACUCUGUUGUUAGAGAAGAACAAGGACGUUAGUAACUGAACGUCCCCUGACGGUAUCUAACCAGAAAGCCACGGCUAACUACGUG